CGGCGGCGACUCGGGAAAGACGCACACGAAGAAGUUGCUGUUGUUUUUGUUGUGGGGGAUAAUAUUUUCGAGUUUAUUCUAGAUUGAUUUUCGUUGAGGGUGGAAGAAUAGCAGGAUGAGAACACUGGUUGUGUUUCUGCUUUUCGUUGCUAUAAUGCAAUGUUCGGUUACAGCCGCGCCCCAAAGGGCUGACGAGCAAUCUAACCUGCAAUGCAACCAUAUUCCGGAUGAGCACCCCUACAGCGGCAAUGUACCCCCGAUGACUGAGAAGGAUGAGAACGAUGGAAGCGGCCGUGAUGGCUCGAAGGGAAAUGGACGGAAAUGAGAACAACAAUCAUUAAAAAUGGCGCCAUGGAAGUUGCAAAGUGUUUCAAAGUGAUUCUUGAUCAGUUAUAUAUCAAAAUUAUUUGGUGAUUAUUGCACAAGUGAAAAAGUUAAAUUCACUGCUUCAUAUUUUCUGAUGAUGUAACCAUUCCAUUAAAAGCAUAUGAGUGUA
rnacentral:lncRNA from 1 species